UGGGGGAUAUUGCGCAAUGGGGGGAACCCUGACGCAGCAACGCCGCGUGCAGGAAGAAGGCCUUCGGGUUGUAAACUGUUGUCGCAGGGGAAGAAGACAGUGACGGUACCCUGUGAGAAAGUCACGGCUAACUACGUGCCAGCAGCCGCGGUAAUACGUAGGUGACAAGCGUUGUCCGGAUUUACUGGGUGUAAAGGGCGCGUAGGCGGGAUUGCAAGUCAGUCGUGAAAUACCGAGGCUUAACCUCGGAGCUGCGAUUGAAACUGUAGUUCUUGAGUAUCGGAGAGGAAAGCGGAAUUCCCAGUGUAGCGGUGAAAUGCGUAGAUAUUGGGAGGAACACCAGUGGCGAAGGCGGCUUUCUGGACGACAACUGACGCUGAGGCGCGAAAGUGUGGGGAGCAAACAGG
rnacentral:rRNA from 1 species